rnacentral:rRNA from 1 species
GGAAAGUUGGAAAGCACUUUGAAGAGAGAGUUAAAGAGGACGUGAAACCGGUGAGGUGGAAACGGAUAGAGCUGGCGUAUCUUGCAUGUAUUCAGCCUUGCAACUGCCGCAACAGUCGGCUUGUCGCAUCUCCAGAUUGGGACGGCAGUCGGCUGUUUGUGACAGCCGUGGUGCAUUUGCAUGUAGAGAGCGCUGAGGCACCCGUAGUGGCGACAUGAACCCGGCUUAGAGGCCAGCUUGCUGGUACCCAAGCCGAGGGAUGCUGUCCCCUUCGGGUUGUAAGUAAUGUAUGGCUCACGGGCUCGGUUGGGCAAUUGAGCCGAGUGUCGGAGGCGGUCGCAUGCGACACGUGCCGGCUCGCGGUUCAUUCCCAACAUGAUGCUACCAUGCAUGCCCUCAGUGUAUAAGCCGGUCAUCUAUCCGACCCGUCUUGAAACACGGACCAAGGAGUUUAUCGUGUGCGCAAGUCAUUGGGCGUUCAAAACCCAAAGGCGCAAUGAAAGUGAAUGCCCUCGAAAGAGGCUGAUGUGCGAGUCCUUGUGCCACGGCAUAAGGAUGCAGCAUGGCCCCAUCCUGAUUGCUUGCAAUGGGAUGGCGGAAGAGCGUGCGCGACGAGACCCGAAAGAUGGUGAACUAUUCCUGAGCAGGAUGAAGCCAGAGGAAACUCUGGUGGAAGUCCGAAGCGAUUCUGACGUGCAAAUCGAUCGUCUGACUUGGGUAUAGGGGCGAAAGACUAAUCGAACCAUCUAGUAGCUGG